rnacentral:sRNA from 1 species
GCCAGGUAUGGUGUCGCAUGCCUGUAAUUCCAGGAGCUUGGGAGGCUGAGGCAGAGGGAUUGAAAGUUCAAAGCCAGCUUCAGCAAUGGUGAGGCACUAAGCAACUCAGUGAGAGCCUGUCUCUA